CACGUAGGGGCCAAGCGUUGUCCGGAUUUAUUGGGCGUAAAGAGCUCGUAGGCGGUUGGGUAAGUCGGGUGUGAAAACUCUGGGCUCAACUCAGAGACGCCACCCGAUACUGCUCUGACUUGAGUCCGGUAGGGGAGUGGGGAAUUCCUGGUGUAGCAGUGAAAUGACGUAGAGAGUGUGGAGGAAUACCGAUGGCGAAGGCAGCCUCCUGGGCCCAACACGUGA
rnacentral:rRNA from 1 species